UUCUGAAACCUUCUAAAAUGGUUAUGGCUAUUAUUUUUUGAGAGUUCACUGGGUUCUAUGCACUGUACUAAGUACUUUUCGUCUAUUAUCUCAUUUAAUCCUUGCUAAAGCUCACAGAUGUGGGUAGUGUCAUCUCUGUUCUACAGGUGAUGGAACUGAGGCAGAGUGGGACCAGGCAAACUCACCUGGGGCCCCUCAGCUAGUGGGUGGUAGGGUCCAAGGCAUGUCUGCCUCUGAAUUCCUGCCUUUAGCCAAUUCAUCAUCAGUCUUCCUCGUCUGUGCAAUGGGGAUCAUUUAACAUGGCUCCACAGGGCUGGGCUGUCCUGGGUGCCAGUGUCUCUGUGAAGCGUGUUAUAAACCUGAAGGUCUGUAGAUCACGAGGUCAGGAGAUUGAGACCAUCUUGGCUAACACGGUGAACCCUGUCUGUACUAAAAAUACAAAAAAUUAGCCGGGCGUGGUGGCUGGCGCCUGUAGACCCAGCUCUCCAUCUCAAAAAAAAAAAAAAAAUCAUGGUUCAUUUUUUUUCACAGCAGUUUAAAAGAUCUCAAGAUUUUUGUUGAUAGAAAAUAAAACAA
rnacentral:lncRNA from 10 species